GGGUGAGUAAUGUCUGGGAAACUGCCUGAUGGAGGGGGAUAACUACUGGAAACGGUAGCUAAUACCGCAUAACGUCGCAAGACCAAAGAGGGGGACCUUCGGGCCUCUUGCCAUCGGAUGUGCCCAGAUGGGAUUAGCUAGUAGGUGGGGUAACGGCUCACCUAGGCGACGAUCCCUAGCUGGUCUGAGAGGAUGACCAGCCACACUGGAACUGAGACACGGUCCAGACUCCUACGGGAGGCAGCAGUGGGGAAUAUUGCACAAUGGGCGCAAGCCUGAUGCAGCCAUGCCGCGUGUAUGAAGAAGGCCUUCGGGUUGUAAAGUACUUUCAGCGGGGAGGAAGGGAGUAAAGUUAAUACCUUUGCUCAUUGACGUUACCCGCAGAAGAAGCACCGGCUAACUCCGUGCCAGCAGCCGCGGUAAUACGGAGGGUGCAAGCGUUAAUCGGAAUUACUGGGCGUAAAGCGCACGCAGGCGGUUUGUUAAGUCAGAUGUGAAAUCCCCGGGCUCAACCUGGGAACUGCAUCUGAUACUGGCAAGCUUGAGUCUCGUAGAGGGGGGGUAGAAUUCCAGGUG
rnacentral:rRNA from 1 species